rnacentral:rRNA from 1 species
UACGGAAGGCAGCAGUGGGGAAUAUUGCACAAUGGGCGCAAGCCUGAUGCAGCCAUGCCGCGUGUAUGAAAAAGGCCUUCGGGUUGUAAAGUACUUUCAGUCGUGAGGAAGGUGUUAAGGUUAAUAACCUUAGCAAUUGACGUUAGCGACAGAAGAAGCACCGGCUAACUCCGUGCCAGCAGCCGCGGUAAUACGGAGGGUGCGAGCGUUAAUCGGAAUUACUGGGCGUAAAGGGCACGCAGGCGGUUAAUUAAGUUGGAUGUGAAAUCCCCGGGCUUAACCUGGGAAUGGCAUUCAAGACUGGUUAGCUAGAGUCUUGUAGAGGGGGUAGAAUUCCAUGUGUAGCGGUGAAAUGCGUAGAGAUGUGGAGGAAUACCGGUGGCGAAGGCGGCCCCUGGCAAAGGACUGACGCUCAUGUGCGAAAGCGUGGGGAGCAAACAGGGAUUAGAUACC